UCUGAAGAAACUUAUGUGUGGUUCACAGA
rnacentral:piRNA from 1 species